GCAUUGGUGGUUCAGUGGUAGAAUUUUCACCUUCCAUGUGAGAGACCCGGGUUCAAUCCCAGUCAUGACC
rnacentral:tRNA from 1 species